CUUUCAACCACUUUUGUCUCUGCAGAAAAAUUAAGACAGACUAACCCCGUCAUUCAGAAGCACGAAAUUGGAGUUUGUUCGAUCUCUCUUGUCAAAUUUCCUAUUCUCUAUCGUCAAUUACGUAAAUACAAGAGGGCUUGUGCGGCUGCUUGAGGUUUCUGCUGCAUUGUGUGUUUUCGAAUCAAGGUUUGACAGGAAGAAGACUGAAUGAUCUAAUGGAGUCUAA